AAGAGUCUACAAUGAUACCUCCCAAUCCUAUCUGAUCUUGGAAGCUAAGCAGAGUCAGUCCUGGUUAGUACUUGGAUGGGAGAGUAAUAAAUCCUAAGAGGCUAUUU
rnacentral:rRNA from 1 species